GGAGUUAUGAACAUGAAAUAAUGACACAGACUGGCUACACGAUCUCAUCUGCCGCAGAUACUGUAUCAGGAGGACAGCGCGUUUGUUUGAGGCACUGUUCACUUCAACUGUGUCUGACAGGAGAAUUAGCUUUUCUGAGCCUAUUAGCCGUUGAGAGUUACCAUGGCAACCGCGGACACAUCAGCUGCUGGAGAGGAGAGGACGCGUCUGACACUUCUCUGUUUCUCGUCAGUUAUACCAAAGAAAAGUUCAACAACUGCGACAGAUUGGCCCGGUGUACCCAGGACGUGAUCUUCCCAGAUGUCCUUCACCCCGUGCCACAGUGUAAGACAUGAGCCAGAACCUUGGCGACAACCUCUCUCCCCCCGCCGCCUCCGGUCUUCGGGAACUCCACUGGAAACCGAUUUGCUCCACUUCACGAGACAGAACACGACUCUGUGUUCAUCAGAGACUCCAUCAUCCGGCACGUUCGUGCUAUGUUAGCUGAAGGUAAUGUGCACACUCACUGUUUCCCUGGUGCUCGUGUUCUUGAUAUUUCUGCGCAGAUACCCGUGAUCCUGAAGGGUGAAGAGAGCAUCGGAGUGGUCGUGCUUCACGCCGGGGUUAACAACACCAAGCUGCGGCAGACGCUGACACUAAAGAGGGACUUCAGGAGCCU